GGCGGCGUGCUUACACAUGCAAGUCGAGUGCGCGGUUGUAGCAAUACAACUGGCGCACGGCGCACGGGUGCGUAACACGUGGGCAAUCUGCCCUCCGAUGGGGAAUAACUCCGGGAAACCGAAGCUAAUUCCGCAUAACAUUCCCUGGACUCCGGUUUGGGGAAUCAAAGCAGUGAUGCAUCGGAGGAGGAGCCCGCGCCCGAUUAGCUAGUUGGUGAGGUAAUGGCUCACCAAGGCAAUGAUCGGUAGCUGGUCUGAGAGGAUGGCCAGCCACACUGGAACUGAGACACGGUCCAGACUCCUACGGGAGGCAGCAGUGGGGAAUCUUGCGCAAUGGGCGAAAGCCUGACGCAGCGACGCCGCGUGGGGGAUGAAGCUUCUCGGAGUGUAAACCCCUUUCGACUGGGACGAAUGCCCGCAAGGGAGUGACGGUACCAGUAAAAGAAGCCCCGGCUAACUACGUGCCANCAGCCGCGGUAAGACGUAGGGGGCCAGCGUUGUUCGGAAUUACUGGGUGUAAAG
rnacentral:rRNA from 1 species